ACGAACGCUGGCGGCGUGGAUAAGACAUGCAAGUCGAACGGGAGAAUUGCUAGCUUGCUAAUAAUUCUCUAGUGGCGCACGGGUGAGUAACACGUGAGUAACCUGCCUCUUAGUGGGGGAUAGCCCUGGGAAACCGGGAUUAAUACCGCAUACGAUUGAAAGAUCAAAGCAGCAAUGCGCUAGGAGAUGGGCUCGCGGCCUAUUAGUUAGUUGGUGAGGUAACGGCUCACCAAGGCGAUGACGGGUAGCCGGUCUGAGAGGAUGUCCGGCCACACUGGAACUGAGACACGGUCCAGACACCUACGGGUGGCAGCAGUCGAGAAUCAUUCACAAUGGGGGCAACCCUGAUGGUGCGACGCCGCGUGGGGGAAUGAAGGUCUUCGGAUUGUAAACCCCUGUCAUGUGGGAGCAAAUUAAAAAGAUAGUACCACAAGAGGAAGAGACGGCUAACUCUGUGCCAGCAGCCGCGGUAAUACAGAGGUCUCAAGCGUUGUUCGGAAUCACUGGGCGUAAAGCGUGCGUAGGCUGUUUCGUAAGUCGUGUGUGAAAGGCAGGGGCUCAACCCCUGGAUUGCACAUGAUACUGCGAGACUAGAGUAAUGGAGGGGGAACCGGAAUUCUCGGUGUAGCAGUGAAAUGCGUAGAUAUCGAGAGGAACACUCGUGGCGAAGGCGGGUUCCUGGACAUUAACUGACGCUGAGGCACGAAGGCCAGGGGAGCGAAAGGGAUUAGAUACCCCUGUAGUCCUGGCAGUAAACGGUGCACGCUUGGUGUGCGGGGAAUCGACCCCCUGCGUGCCGGAGCUAACGCGUUAAGCGUGCCGCCUGGGGAGUACGGUCGCAAGAUUAAAACUCAAAGAAAUUGACGGGGACCCGCACAAGCGGUGGAGUAUGUGGCUUAAUUCGAUGCAACGCGAAGAACCUUACCUGGGCUUGACAUGUAGUGAACAACAUGUGAAAGCAUGCGACUCUUCGGAGGCGUUACACAGGUGCUGCAUGGCCGUCGUCAGCUCGUGUCGUGAGAUGUUUGGUUAAGUCCAGCAACGAGCGCAACCCCUGUUGCCAGUUACCAGCACGUCAAGGUGGGGACUCUGGCGAGACUGCCCAGAUCAACUGGGAGGAAGGUGGGGACGACGUCAGGUCAGUAUGGCCCUUAUGCCCAGGGCUGCACACGUACUACAAUGCCCAGUACAGAGGGGGCCGAAGCCGCGAGGCGGAGGAAAUCCUGAAAACUGGGCCCAGUUCGGACUGUAGGCUGCAACCCGCCUACACGAAGCCGGAAUCGCUAGUAAUGGCGCAUCAGCUACGGCGCCGUGAAUACGUUCCCGGGUCUUGUACACACCGCCCGUCACAUCAUGGAAGCCGGUCGCACCCGAAGUAUCUGAAGCCAACCGCAAGGAGGCAGGGUCCUAAGGUGAGACUGGUAACUGGGAUG
rnacentral:rRNA from 1 species